GAAAGAUAGGUCACACCGUGGUGACGGAAGAAUCGGGAUCACAACACCCACAGAGAAGAUCGAGGCAGGAAGGUGAGAGUGGCAACAGUUAGCAAAAGGAGAAAAGAGAAAGGUAGGGCU